AAUCUCACUUCGGAAUUAAUGCGCCGUCAUUUCGAGGUGAAUAGGAUUUGAGAGACACAAUGAGGACUCGUAUCACUCCACGGACGUUUGAGAACAUGUUUCUUCGCCCCUCGAAGUACAAGCACCAGGGAUGCGGUGUCGAGGGUCACACAGCUACUUACAAUUGCACGCCCACCUGGCAAGACAUUGACUACAAUGGCCUAUCACGCGCUUGCGCCCGAUGUAAUAAGUGCGCCUACGGUCAGGUAGCAGACAUGUUGUCAUAUUCUAAUAGAAAAUGGUCGACUUAGGUCGUACACCACACGUCGUGUAACGCUUGAAUAAUGAAUGGAAUACUUUCACGUUACCGACAUUUAUUAGAUUUAGUACAAACAUAAGGACGAGGCGUGUCAAAACAACCUAAUUUCAGUAUCAACAAACGGUCUCCUUGGGCGGCGUGCGCUGCCGCUCAGUGACAAUAUUAAAGGCGUCUUAAUGACAUUAUUCCCGGGUGGGAAAAAAACUUCUAGAAAAAAAUUCAGGAAAAAGGAAAUAGUCGACUUACUGCGCUGGCGCAUGUUUAGUCUACGAUCAUUAUUUGUAAUAAAUAUCCUUAAUUAAUGUAUUA